rnacentral:rRNA from 1 species
AGUGAACGCUGGCGGUGGGCCUAACACAUGCAAGUCGAACGGCAGCACAGUAAUAGCUUGCUCUUACGGGUGGCGAGUGGCGGACGGGUGAGGAAUACUUCGGCAUCUACUUUUUCGUGGGGGAUAACGUAGGGAAACUUACGCUAAUACCGCAUACGACCUACGGGUUAAAGCAGGGGAUCUUCGGACCUUGCGCGAUUGAAUGACCCGAUGUCGGAUUAGCUAGUUGGAGGGGUAAAGGCCCACCAAGGCGACGAUCCGUAGCUGGUCUGAGAGGAUGAUCAGCGACACUGGAACUGAGACACGGUCCAGACUCCUACGGGAGGCAGAAGUGGGGAAGAUUGGACAAUGGGCGCAAGCCUGAUCCAGCCAUACCGCGUGGGUGAAGAAGGCCUUCGGGUUGUAAAGCCCUUUUGUGGGGAAAGAAAAGCAGCAGGUGAAUACCCCGCUGUUCUGACGGUACCCAAAGAAUAAGCACCGGCUAACUUCGUG